AAAGACGAGCCCAGAAUAUGUUCUAAUAGUUUGGGAAUAACUGAUCUUGAAAAUAACUAAUAUAGCUAGUUGCAAGUAAAAAGUGUGUACACAAGGUGAAAUUUUUAAACAAAUAUGAUGCCAUUUUGUUGAAUAGUAUCAAGAAUAAUCCCAAGUCUACCUUCAAUUCUUUCAUUCUUCCCAGGUUCAUAUGCAAUGGCAUAGACAUCAGCCUCUUUUGAUCGCUCUGCAAUCAAUUUGCCUAUUACCCUAGCAGCAUCGUUAUCAGUAAGCGAUGGCAAUGUGUUCCUCAAGUCUCUCGAGUUUGUGGUAGCAACAGAGAUCACCUUGCUGGUCCCUCGAUGCAUCACUUUGGCAUGGAUAAAUCGUUUUGAAAAGAAAACAUUUAGUAAAAAAGGUCUCAAAUACAUAUCUGUCCUUUGUUUCCAUGAUUUCCUGUUGGGCUUUUUUGCAGCUUCACUCCG
rnacentral:misc_RNA from 1 species